AUUGAACGCUGGCGGCAUGCCUUACACAUGCAAGUCGAACGGCAGCACGGAGCAAUCCUGGUGGCGAGUGGCGAACGGGUGAGUAAUAUAUCGGAACGUGCCCAGUCCGUGGGGGAUAACCGUAGCGAAAGCUACGCUAAUACCGCAUACGAUCUAUGGAUGAAAGCGGGGGAUCGCAAGACCUCGCGCGAUUGGAGCGGCCGAUAUCAGAUUAGGUAGUUGGUGAGGUAAAGGCUCACCAAGCCGACGAUCUGUAGCUGGUCUGAGAGGACGACCAGCCACACUGGGACCUGAGACACGGCCCA
rnacentral:rRNA from 1 species